UCCAUGGAUAUCACUGGAAAACAAAUCCAAUUACCAGGACUCACAACAGCUAAAAACUUUUUUAUUUUCAGGGUUACCCUGAAUUGGUAAAGAAUGCUGUGCCCCAAACCUUCCACACAUCAUGUGGUUUACGCUCACAACAAUCUUGCAUGACGUCAUCUUCAGUUUUUCCAAAGGACUUCUGCCUCAGAGAGACUUCCUUCUUUCAGCCCCAUGCUUUUCACUGGAGAGCUUUAUCCUUGAUGCAUCUUUCCUACUAAAACCAGCAUGGUGAGGAUAUAUAGUUGUUUUAGUAAUCCCAUUUCUAUUUGAGCAAGUUCAGGCAUUUGAAGUGGACACACCCAGGUUUGGAGGUGUGUAUGACAAUGGUGUCCCAGUAUCACUCAUUUUAUCAAGUUGGGGCAGAGAAGUGUACAUGAAUAUGACAUGAGUUACAACAUGUUUGGAGCUUAUGAACAAUUUAAUUACCAAGUUCAAGAUUCGGUUGACAGCCAAGUCCCAGAACUUGUGAAAUAGAAAGAAAAGAAAAUGAAAUGAAUGAAAUAUAACUCUUGUAUAAAGCUGAUUGCAGAGGCUGAUGAGAAAAGGAGAGAGGUGUAAAGAAAAAAAGCCCUCAUAAAAGUCCACAUAAGUAAUUUGGAAUGUGAUUAUGUAAACUGGAACAAGGGUAAAACCCACAGGUUUUUAUAUUUGACAGAAAUGAGAGUAUAGGGAAAAGGAAGGUUGAAUUCAUUUACCUUCUCUAUUUACAUUUCCCUGAUGUUCAGACACCUAUACUUUGGUAGUCUUGCACUGACUAAAACAAUGUUGAGGGGUAACAUGAACUGUUGGGGGAGGGUAAUUAUGUGUCUUCCUUUAUGUCUUGUCUGUUUUCUGCUGCUAUAACAGAAUACCAUCAACUGGGCAAUUUAUAAAGAAGAGAAGUUAUUUGGCUCAUGGUUCUGGGGCUGGGAAGUCCAAGAACAUCAUGCUGGCAUCUGGGGAUGGUGAUCCCAUGGCAGAAGGUGGAAGGAUGAAGUGAGCACUGAAGAUGGAGUGGACGGGGGUGAAAUUUAUGCUUUUAUCAGGAACCCUCUCCCACAAUAACUAACCCACUCCUGUGAUAACUAACCCACUCCUGCAAUAAUGACAUUAAUGUAUUUAUGAAGGCAGAGCCCUCAUGGCCUAAUCGCCUGUUAAAGGCCCCAUCUCCUAAUACCAUUACAAUGGCAAUUUUAUUUCAACCUGAGUUUUGAUAGGGACAUUCAAACCAUAGCACUUUGUAACUGCAGAAACUCAAACUUACUUGGUUUUUCUCAUUUGGCAUUUUCAGUCUGGAAGGUAAGUCUCAAGUUAGAAUAUCUGCAUUACUGGCAGGGAUUCGGAUUCAUGAGAGAAAUCAUUUGGAUUUACCAAGUCUAUAACCCGGAGUCAAGUAUUUGCAGGUCUCUUAUUGAUCUCGGGUAAGUAAUAAGCUGGUGUGCUGACUUCCAUUUCCUUUUGCACUGGCAAUUGGAUGCUAAUAUUGCCCAAUCUAAGUUUUCCUCUCUCAAGAGGUUAUAUAAUGUAGUGGUUAAGGGCCUGGACUACAGAGGCAGAUGGUCCAUGUUUGAUUUUUAACUCCACUAUUUGUUUGUACCUGAUAUGUUUUGGCUGUGCCCACAUCCAAAUCUCAUCUCGAAUUGUAAUCCCCAUAAUCCCCAUGUGUGGAGAGAGGGACCUAGUGGGAGGUGAUUGGAUCAUGGGGGUGGUUUUGUCUGUGCAAAAAACCUUGUGAUAGUGAGUGAGUUCUCACGAGAUCUGAUGGUUUUAUAAGUGUUUGACAGUUCCUCCUUCACACACUCUCUCUCUCUCUCACCUGCCACCAUGUAAGAUAUGCCUGCUUCCUCUUCCACAUAACUGUACGUUUCCUGAGGCCUCCCUAGCCAUGCAGAACUGUGAGUCAAUUAAACCUCUUUCCUCUAUACAUUACCCAGUCUUAGGAAGUUCUUUAUAGCAGUGUGAAAAUGGACUAAUACAGAAGCUCAUUUUUCUUGUCUGUGCAAUGGGGAUAACAGUACUUACAGUGUUGUAAGGAAUAAAUGAGUUCUUAGAAGCAAAGUGCAUGAAAUGAUCUCUGUCAUAUAAUAAACACUAUAUAAAGAUCAGCUGUUAUCAUUGUUAUCAUUCACUGUGGGAAGGUCAAAUCUUUAUUUUUUCCUCAACUGUGAAAAGCUAUUUCAGAAUGAGAGAGGAAGAAAGAUGACAGACAAAGAGACUGAGUCAAAUCCUCUCCUUCCUUCACACGUAAAUGCAUAAGGAAGCCUUCAGGAGAUGAGUGUGCAUAAAUGAAGGUGAAAAUUUGGCUUUGUGUCUUAAAAAAGAGUUCCUCCAGAGGUCGACACAGUCAUCAGUUUAAUUCUUGAGUUUCUUAUUCUGUUGAUAUGUGUCCUAUAUUGGAAACCAUAAACUGGGC
rnacentral:lncRNA from 1 species